UGGGGAAUAUUGCACAAUGGGGGGAAACCCGUGAUGCAGCGACGCCGCGUGAAGGAAGAAGUAUCUCGGUAUGUAAACUUCUAUCAGCAGGGAAGAUAAUGACGGUACCUGACUAAGAAGCCCCGGCUAACUACGUGCC
rnacentral:rRNA from 1 species